GAUGAACGCUGGCGGCGUGCCUAAUACAUGCAAGUCGAGCGAACAGACGAGGAGCUUGCUCCUCUGACGUUAGCGGCGGACGGGUGAGUAACACGUGGAUAACCUACCUAUAAGACUGGGAUAACUUCGGGAAACCGGAGCUAAUACCGGAUAACAUGUUGAACCGCAUGGUUCAACAGUGAAAGACGGUCUUGCUGUCACUUAUAGAUGGAUCCGCGCCGCAUUAGCUAGUUGGUAAGGUAACGGCUUACCAAGGCAACGAUGCGUAGCCGACCUGAGAGGGUGAUCGGCCACACUGGAACUGAAACACGGUCCAGACUCCUACGGGAGGCAGCAGUAGGGAAUCUUCCGCAAUGGGCGAAAGCCUGACGGAGCAACGCCGCGUGAGUGAAGAAGGUCUUCGGAUCGUAAAACUCUGUUAUUAGGGAAGAACAAAUGUGUAAGUAACUAUGCACGUCUUGACGGUACCUAAUCAGAAAGCCACGGCUAACUACGUG
rnacentral:rRNA from 1 species